rnacentral:rRNA from 1 species
GGUCUUACCGAGUUUUCUACUCAAACCCCUGCGAACCUACCUUUAGUUGCUUCGGCGGUCGACCCCGGGGGGUGCUACCACGGCCGCCGACAGCACCCAAAACCUCUGUCAGUGUAUUCUGAGUAACCAAAAAACAAAUCAAAACCUUCAACAACGGAUCUCUUGGUUCUGGCAUCGAUGAAGAACGCAGCGAAAUGCGAUACGUAAUGUGAAUUGCAGAACUUUGUGAAUCAUCGAAUCUUUGAACGCACAUUGCACCCGGUGGUAUUCCGCCGGGUAUGCCUGUCUGAGCGUCAUUUCUACCCUCAAGCCCGGCUUGGUGUUGGCGGAUUGCCCCCCCGGGCAACCGCUGAAAACGAAUGGCGGUAGCACACCCGUCCUCUGUACAGUACAAUUCUUACAGCGGCCUCGUGGACGAACCAGCCCGUACAAAGAAAUAGCAAGUUGACCUCAGAUCAGGUAGGAAUACCCGCUGAACUUAAGCAUAUCAAUAAGCGGAGGA